rnacentral:rRNA from 1 species
UACCUUAGGAGGUAGGUAUAUAGUAAAGGCCGGCAGUUGCUCUCGUUCGCGAGGCCUAGGCGAGGUAUAGAGAGAGACCGGCAGGUGGUCUUUCGAGCACCUAGAGUCUUCGAACGGCCAGCUGCUCGUCCGGCCGGCCAACGAGGGGCCGGUCCAGGCGAGGUUUCGAAGAAAGGGACGUUAGUCGUCCAGUAGCUAGCUGGAGAACCUGGCGUCCCUCAUGACCUUUUACCCCUUCUCUAACGAGAGUUUUUCGAUGUAGUGUACGGACCCGAACUGCUGUGUGUUAAAUCCUUACUCAAAUUAGUGGAAUACUCCCGGGUCGUAGGUUUAUAAUGGGUUAACCAACCGAUGACGAUAUUAGAUCCAGUAGUCGCGUAAUUCAUGCCACCACUUAUAUAAAAGCGGGAACACCUUCUUUCUCAUGAGACGAAACUUAUGAACGUUCCACCUUCGGAACUGUUAGUAUAAAGACUACUCAGCACACCUGAGCUAACCGGGUGUGCAAAGUUUUAAUAGUUCCCUCAGACACUCCCUAAUUUAAUGGAUGUAUUACCUACGUUUCUAGGUUAAAUGGUAGAACUGAACUUUGGACGCUUACAAAAUGACCUGUUCUUGUACAAGGGCUUUUAACCUCUGAAACCAAACAGUUCUGAGAAAGGAAAUAGUGUUUGGAUAUAUUGUUCGUUUUAAAAUCCUUGUGGACCUAUGUACGGUGGUCUUAUGUAACUCUCUGCGCUUUAGUGUAGCUUCAUACUACAUAAGUCAAACCCACAAUAUUAACACGCCUAUUAUCGUCCUCUACUCCCGAUGAGGUUUACACGUAUAUACAGAAACCUUCUAAAAGAACUCGUACAUGUACCUUUGACCCCUUUUGCCGACUUCCUUUGUUACCGCAACGUAUGUAGUCUCGUUCAAUUCUGCACGUAACUUUAUCGCAAUUCCACAUACCUCCAACUAGCACUCUUUUCCGGAUGAUAUCGUCUCUAACAGCUACUUGAUUUGAACCAACUAUGACGUCUUUCAAACGGAUGUCCGGUCCAGCGGUUGAAGGCUUCGUUCGUUUUGAGUUUGAGUCUCGCGGCUCCGUCUUAGCAUAAGAGACGGUGGAUGUCCGGGGGCCACGGUAAGCUGUAGAAGAGGACGGGACAGAGUGGAACCAGGUGUCUACUACUCGAGGUGGAGUGGCUACCGCACAGACUGUUGAUGUUGCCCUCGGGGUAGGGAGGGCGGCGCGACUUCUGGGAGGAGUUCUCGGGCUUCGACCGUUUGCUCCAACUACAAUGGCUGCGCCUACAGCUGUGGCCGCUGCAGAGACCGGACCAGAAGCAGAGGCUCUCCCUGUUACCGGAACUCUGCGAGAUGUAACGGUAUACGAAAUUACGACUAUUGUUCCAGUUCCAUAAGAGAGAACGACUGUAGAAACCUCGGCGGCUGAAGUCGUCGUACGCGGACCUCCUGUCACCGACGUAGCCGCCGCCGAUGGCGCACCCUAGAGUGUCGCAGCUGGUGAUAGAGUAGAAGCAGAGGUGUUUCCUCGGACACGUACGUGCAGCACCGGGAACCUGGUAGCACAUGUUUUGGUUGGAAUGUUGUCCGUACUGCCUCGCGGAGUGCGGUGUUCCCUAUAAACUAAACUCAGGCCGGCAAAGCGGGAGCCCCUUCUGCCAUCGUCACCGCAGUAAAGUCUCGUUCUCAACCUUGCCGCUGUAACUCUUGGACUUCUGACUGUAGAUGCACUACUUGAACCUAUCGCUGGUCACAGUCCCGGUCCCCGCGUUCGAUUAGUAGUUCUUACCGCCGACCGGUAGGACCCCGUCGCUGCUGUAGUAGAAGAAAGUAGCUGAGUGGUCAUACCGGGAAGAUAGCUCGGACUAACUUUGUAAAACCCGACACAAGGCCAUGCUGUAGUUGUGGCUCCUCUGGCAGGUCCAAUGAGGCCCUCCUAACCUACGCCACUGAGGACGCCGGUAUUCGCUCUGGUUUCAUCGCCACCGCUGGUAGGCGGUUCUCGUGUUCAGGUCGUUGCAGGCACACGUCCGUGUCAUGGCCGUGUAACUCUAGAAACUCUACCUACACGGCCCCGACGGUGGCCACGUCUAGUGGGCAUUCUACUCCGUUUUUCCGCUAGUGAUGUUGAGAAAACACGACCUACCACCCCCGGCGUAACCUAUGGUGGCGACGUCCUCACUCUCACUGGAACACGUCUUACCUCUGCUGCAGGGAGUCUUGAACGUGUCCGAUCUCAGGGGGUACUCCCUGCAGCCAAAUGAAGCCCAUAGACCGUACAAGGGCUGGUAAAGCUUCCUGCCGAGGUUCGAGCGGAAACAAUUGUCACUCAAGUUUCGUCACAAACAUCACCUGUCGGUUCCCGACGCAUAGUAUAUGCUCCUUUCCUCGGCUUUGACGCAGAAGAGGGGACACACCUUGGUCUUGGAGCUGUUCCUGUAGGAGAUACACACGUAUCCGUGGUGGAACUUGAGAGUGGCUGAACUCUAGAAGCGGUAGACGUUACGGAGACCGGGACGUUGUCCCGUUUUACAGCAUUCUGAGUGGUAACCACCCAUGUUGUUGCGUAUGGGCAGCUCGUUGGGUCUACCGCUGUUUAAACAGAAGUCCAGUUGUUCCCUACCUAACCGCGGCGUGUUCUUGGACAUGUAUUACAACGUGUCACUAUUGCUCGUUAAACCCCUUGUAAGCUUCUUCACCGUGUCUGUAUUACUUCUUAAGCUCCUUGGAACCGUCUGCGCCGACUGCUUUCCCUUCACCUGUCUAUGGGUAACGGUCACCAGGGGUUUGCCCCUGACCUAGCAGAAGAGUAGCUGCGCGCUGUUGGCCGACCUGGGCUCCGUGAAGAGGCAUAUGGACCACUUCCGCAAGCUGGGCUGCCACAACUAGUCCCACUGCUCGUCACCCCCACUAAAGCCGCCAGUUUAUUUGGUGGGUCACAAGUCGGACCUGCCCUCCUCGUAUCGGCACUGUCACGUAGAGCACCGCCGAAGGCACCUGGGCCAGAGUGACGGCUUGAAGUUCGUACCUCACGCCGCGAUAUCGCUGUAGAAGCGACACCUGCAGGUGGGUCUGCUGCUCCUCUUCUUUUACUUCUAUUUGCACUUCAACUUCAACUUCUUGUUCUGCCUCUUCCUUUUCAACUACCCUAAGGCGAAGGCGGCCUAGUGCGUGUCGUCCAUGCUCACGCCCUGCGGUCGGACCUGCUACCGGAAGCGGCGCUGCCUGUGUUUGCGCGACACCUUAUACAACGGUCUGUACCUCGUAUACAUGCGUGACCCACAGACAUGAUCUAGGCGUUCGGGAACUGUUAGUUAACAACUGAGUCAUCGAUGCAUUUUCGGCUACAGCUUGUUGUUCCCACUACGUCCUGUAACCCUUAGUUUCGAAGAACGUUCGACCAAGCUCUUAGUCGGGAAAGACCUAAGACCUUCGUUUUGAAGGUAAAGUAUACACUGACAGUUACUCGUAGCAACAUUACAACGACAACGACGACGACGACGACGAACCCUACCCCUCUUAGAUUACAUUUCUAAGAUUUAGGCACAUAUUAGACACCUGAAUGACUUGAUCAAGUCAAUUAAUCAUGACAACAAGAAAGAUCACGACUUCUAGCGGGUUAAACCUACAAGGUAGGAAUUCCCGUUUUCAACCGAUCCGUAUUGUUACGACAGUAACGACACCGUGUUCUACCACCGUUUGCAACCUUCUACCGUCCUAUAAGUGAGCUCCGACGAGGUAGCGCGACAGGACUCCUAACGGACCUUAGACCUCUACUUCACCUAGUCCAACCAUAGAACACAAGCUGUGGUUUUCGACGUAGCCGAUUGCCGAGUCGCUCGAGGGGUUCGCUAUCCGCUACGAACUAAAAGUAAAAGGCCAGAAAAGGAACAGGGACACGACUCGAUAAGACCCAAGUGUGAAAACCAACUCACUAC